rnacentral:rRNA from 1 species
UACAGAGGUGGCAAGCGUUGUUCGGAAUUACUGGGCGUAAAGGGCGCGUAGGCGGCCAUCUAAGUCAGACGUGAAAUCCCCCGGCUUAACCUGGGAACUGCGUCUGAUACUGGACGGCUUGAGUAUGGGAGAGGGAUGUAGAAUUCCAGGUGUAGCGGUGAAAUGCGUAGAUAUCUGGAGGAAUACCGGUGGCGAAGGCGGCAUCCUGGACCAUUACUGACGCUGAGGCGCGAAAGCUAGGGGAGCAAACGGGGAUUAAGAAACC